GAAAAAAAACCAAAACUCGCACGCACGAGCGAGACUGCCCUCUCGAUCCCCUCGACCUACGAUCUGUGACUGCAGACGCACCAGAUCGCCGCCGCGGACCUCGCAGAGAAGACGCAGACGAGAUCCCAAGCCGCUGCUCCUCCUCUCCCGGGAUGCAGCCGCCGCCGCCGAACCAGGGAGACGCCGGCGACCGUCGCCGCCGUCGUGGAUCACCAGGACGCCGCCGCCGCCGCCGCCUGCACCGCCACCACCGCGCCUCGGAUACAUCGCUGCGAAGCGGAUCCCUGGGAGCGGGAGGAGGUAGGGGUCAGCCGCGUCGACAGCGGCGAGGUGGAGCCCUGGGGCUGGGAGUGGGUAUGGGAGGAGGUGGGGGGCAGCUGCGAGCGCAACAGGGUGAGGGGCGUCGACGAGAUGCUCGUGGUGCCUCCCUCCGAGUGGGAAGGGGAGAGGGGCGUCAGCGGCGAGCCGGACGGGGCGAGGGGCGUCAGCGGCGAGCCGGACGGGGCGAGGGGCGUCGAUGAGAUGCCCCCGGCGCUUCCCUCCGGGCGGGAGGAGGAGAGGGGCGUCGGCGACGAGGCGAGUGUCGGCGGUGAGAUGGUCUCUGACGGGCGUGAUGAGGCGGGCAGCUUUGGCGUGAAGCGUGCGUUCGUGGAGGUAUUCGCCAGGGCGCUCUUCUAUCCGACGGUGAUGCUCAACUAUGGCCGUAGCUUGAUCGAUCCCGAGUUCCACUGGUGGGAUCGCAUCGACAAGGAUAUUUGGAUAGGGGAAGUUCCUCACCAACCAAUGUCAUAAUUUAUCACGUCCGCAAAUGAUUUUUGGACUGUAGUUUGUAUUGUUCUGCCGAGCGUAUAACAACGCAUGCUAUCUAUCAAAGCUUCGACUCAUUUGUUUUGCUGCUCCGGAAUAUUGAGACGAGAAGAAUGGCCUUGAUGCUGGAGGUUAAUGGAUCACCCUGGGAACGAUUUUGAGGGCAUUAUGCCAGCUACUUUGAUGGCAAUGGAUUAUGGAAUGGCAAACUAACAGGGCACAUCGCACAACUGGUAUAAAUGUGUUGAUAUGUUGCAUUUCAAGGCAGUUUCACUCAUAAAUACUACAAAGUUUGAACCAUUUAGCAUUUGGGACCACGAGGAUUCCGAUUGGGAGAACGACGUCGUCCAUAGAUUAAUGUAUGGGAACACCGGGCCAACUCACUUUACAGGACAGGAGGGUUGACCGCUGGGCGAUGCGCUGCACGAGUAGGCCAGGAGGAACAAGAGUAGAAGAGGACUGUAGCCUGUAGGUGAGAGAAGAUGAUGCCAUUGCCAUCUUGACUGAAGGUUGGGCAUCUAAAGAUGCUUGGCAACCAGAACUCUGAAGCUAAACACCACUUGAAGGUACCUGGAAAUACACUACUUGCUGAAGCUGCACAUCCUACGCCCCAGGAGGAGGCCAAAUGCAUAUUCCGAUCAUGUGAUCUAAAUACUAAAGCUUCCUUGCUGGAUCUAAGCAUACUUCCGUAGCAGCCGGAGCUGAACAUUUAGAGAGACCAUACUGUAGCAAGCUUGCUUUCUAGGGACCUGGUGUUUCUGCAAACCCAACGAUAGGCGUGUUUGAAAAAAAAAGGUCAGUUCGUGUUGCAAUUUCAUGAAAACUUGCUUAUGCGGUGUUAUUGCACUGGUACAAAAAAUGUCAUGGUCUUUUUCUUCCUGUUUAGAUCGCCACCUACCUAUGAAUUACGACUCUGGGCAUGGCAGAAUGUCACCAUAAUUUUUGUUCAGCAACUAGAUUUCAUCCCAAGACGUGCCAUCUCUCUAAUUUGACUCUGAGCAUGUAAUACAGUUAGUUAAUCAUGUGGGUUGGUCUUGUGUCUUCCCGCUGCAAUUGAAUUAGUCUAAGCAAUCGAGGUCCUACUAAUUAAUUAAGCUGGCUAUUUGCUUGCUUCUUGUACCUACGGCAUGCUCUCUGAUUUUUUUUAUCACAGUAUGCAAGCUUCUAAGCGCCGGAUUGAUGUCGUACUAACAAAUUAAGGUGGUUGAUUACUUGCUUUUUUUUCCUCAGUAUUGCAAGCUUUACUGUGAAUUAAAAGGAAUUAAAAGGAUGGAGCCAGUAUGCCUACAGUUGAUUCACUGAUGUUCAAAUUAACUGCAGUAGCUUAUUUUUCCUACAACUUCAUUGAAAGUUCCUUUGCCGUAUCUAAUUAUCUAAAGUUUUCCUUGUACCAUUUUCCAUGAGAUUAAUGUAAUUGGGAAUACCAGUGCUUGUUUGAAUCAUUUAGUUAAUUAAUUUUGUAGAUAAAACUUGUAUUUGUAUGUUUUAGAAUUACUAUUAUCCUGGUAAAAUGACCACAAGUGAAAGGGUUGUAAAGAUUAAUUAUUCUUUGUGGAAGCAUUAUUGGUCUAAUUAAUAGAUGUACAUGCAUCAAUAAUGUUGUUGAGCUUUAGUUGAUUCUAUAGUGUCGUACUAUUCGCAAAGUUCUAUUUUGAGAAAAAAUAGCAAAUUCAAUAUUGUGGCAGCUAAAUGGCGCGCCCGCUGUAGCAAGUGAGUGCCCAUCGAAAUCACCCUAAGCAUAUUUGCGCUGAUUUUCAUGAUUGCUCUUCUGCCAGCAACAAUGUUCCUCGCACUUCGACCACACAACUGUAUGUUCAUCUUCCAGAGUCCUUAUUCAUAGUUAAUUUCAAUCACAAAGUGACAAAUGCCAGUCUAUUAGUUAACAUGUGUAUCUCCGUUUCUUCUAAGUUUUAAUCGACCUACUCUGAAGUUGUUCCUAAGACAGUGCCUCAAGCAAAGGGAAUGAGCCUCAGUUAGUGUAUCUAGCGUGUUCGCGAUCCUUUGUUGGGAUAAACAUUUGUGCAAGAGCAAGUCUCGUCACUGUUGGUUGUUAGUACUGUUGCUUGAUAAUUCUAAUUUUUACUUCAGUUCAUAAGGCAAUGUAGUUAUGCUUGACGCAUGAUAUGAAGACUGCCAUUUUGCCUUUUGACCUUGGUUUCUUCCUCCAGUAAGUAAAUGCACAUAGUUCUUUUCUAAAUUAGAGCAUAUGACUUGUUGAUCGAUCUCUGAGCUCAGUAAUAAUAUUAAGCCUUAAUCUGUUUAUUGUGCAGACAAGAUGAGAAAGAAAUGCUACCCAAGAAUAUGUACUUUAUAAACAUUUCAACUGUAAUCUGGAAUAAAAUUAAAUAAAUAAGGAAACAGUAUAUUCAUAUAUCUUUUUUGUACUUUGAUGGUUUCACACCACAAGUUCCUAGAUGGUAAUUGUGCUGCAUAUGUCUGCUCUCUUACUUUGUUUUUCUGAACAGGUAGGUUCCGGAAGAUGUCAUGAAGAAUUUCUUUGAGAAAAUUUGCGUGAGGUGUGUCUAAAUGAUUUUUAUCUUCUGAACAUAUUCUUGUAUGACUAACUGAAUUCAUUUUCUCAAAACGUUGGUACUUUUCCUUUUUCAUUUAUGUUGCUCGACUGAGUCUCUCUCGGAUCAUGUAAACUCGACAUGCUAGCUGAUCUGUAGCAGUGCGGAAGGUGAGCUUGGCUGCCGGCAGCAGCUCCUUUCGCUGAUCUGCGGCGAUGCAGAAGUUGGGUUGGAAAAAAGCACGACCGGCUGCUCUGAAGUGGGUCGUAGGGAGAGCUUCGUAAGAGAUAGGGAGGGAGCUCUAUUGGCCCGUGCAUGACAUCCAACCCAAUGGCAUCAUGCCCUGGUAGGCAUGGUUGCAUGGCCACGGGGAGAAUGGAGCAAGUAGCGUGUGAGGAGUUUAAGAAAUGGGGACAAGGGACAAUUUAGUUAAUUAAGUCUAUGUUAGUUUCAAGUUUUAUCCUUGUUGCGUUAAAAAAUUAAGGUUGGAUUAACCACCAUGUACAUCUUCAAUUACUUUUAAAUAAGAAAUAUAAUCAAAAUAUUCUUUUGAAAUCAUGAAAUUUAUAUAAUUUGUACAAGUACAUGAAGGUGGAACAGGAGGAAGGGUGGGAGAAGAUUAGGCCCCGUUUGGUAACAAAGUA